GCUCCACAGAGCAAUUUUCCUCUUUCCUUGGGCUGCGUGUGCAGAGCGUAGACAAUGAAAAUCUCCGCCCCCUCCCCCAUGCUCUCUAGUCUACAAGAUUUUUUUUCUUUCCUUCACAACGAUGGAAGCUAUGUAAAAUCAAAUACACAGAGAUGUACUUUUUUUUUUUAAGGCACAGACUAACAAACCAAAGGACCUGACCACGGAUUAUCCAAGAACGCACCUGCUGGGGAGCGCUCUGGGGUCUCCGCACAAAACCUGCUCUUGAGCCCUUUGGCUUUCUUCAAGCGAGCGCAGUCCGUCCAUCCCCCCCUGGCCCACCCAGCCGCAAGGGAUGCUGUGAAAAGAGCCGCUGCUUGCCGCCUCCGGCCUGCCGUCCAGAGGGCUCCGCCCGUAGAGGCUUAUAUGGAAUAAAAUAAUGUAUAUUUGUAUUACUUCAGCACCAUGAAUUUAGAAGUUACAGCAUAUUGUGAAGCAGACACAUCUUUGCUAUGAAAACUGUGACUCACUACAUCAGUGCUGGUAUAAUAAAAUGCUUC
rnacentral:lncRNA from 1 species